GAAAUGCGAUAAUUAAUGUGAAUUGCAGAAUUCAGUGAAUCAUCGAGUCUUUGAACGCACAUUGCGCCCCCUGGUAUUCCGGGGGGCAUGCCUGUCCGAGCGUCAUUGCUGCCCUCAAGCACGGCUUGUGUGUUGGGCUUCCGUCCCUGGCAACGGGGACGGGCCCAAAAGGCAGUGGCGGCACCAUGUCUGGUCCUCGAGCGUAUGGGGCUUUGUCACCCGCUCCCGUAGGUCCAGCUGGCAGCUAGCCUCGCAACCAAUCUUUUUAACCAGGUUGACCUCGGAUCAGGUAGGGAUACCCGAUGAACUUAAGC
rnacentral:misc_RNA from 1 species